GUGCAGCACACAUUUGAGAGUAGCCCCCCUUCCUUUUAUAUUGAAACAAUCUGGUAAGAGAUGUAGACAAUACUUGAAGAUUGAAAUCAUCAGGGGACCUAAACACAACCUAAAUGGACCGAAUUCGACGAAUGUUAGGGACAACGAGAGAAGAUUACUCUCAAGACUGUCAGAGUCGGAUAGCUGACAAUACCAGUUUGAACUCCAAGGCUGUGCCUGAUCAGGAUUGUUUAGAGUGUAAACUUAUUGGGACAGCAGUACCUGUUGGCGCAGCAGGAUAUAUUCUGUAUCACCACAGACAGAAGAUUGGCGUUUACAAGGGAUACGAAGGAAUGCUUUGGAAUAUCCUGUGUUUAGGAAUGUCAUCAGCCUUGAUUUUGGUUGGAGGGUGUCGCUUCUUUGAUUGUGGGAUGUUCAAACACUUAAAAACCAACUCAAAGACAGAUACAUCACAAGAUGACAAGGAUUGAUUGGGUCGGUUUUAGUGUAAUAUGUCAAAGUCUUCGUAUCAUUAUUUCUGAUCAAAAGCUGGUCUUUUUUCAUGUUGUCAAACCAUUUGAUUGAUUCAUGAAGUAUGUGCAUGUUUGAUAAAUGUAAAAACCAGUUGAAUUUUACCUUCACACAAAUGAUGUAUUACAAUAGAUGUAGUGCGGAAGGCUAUCUUUACAUUGCAACCAUAGCAGUAUGGAGCAAUGAGAUUUGUAGCUGAUUAUUGUGCCAUUACAUAUAUCAAACACAUUUACAUUUUGACAUCAUAAAUAUAAGUAAGCAAUAACUGAAGGAAAUCAGACAGAGACAGUCCGAGUCAACAUGUAUGGUAGUAAGGGCUUUGAUUCAAAACAGAGGCACUUCCUUUUCAAAUAAGCAUUAUCAUGACUAUAUAUGGACAAUCCUUAAAAUGUUCAUAAGAAUUUAUCUGUAUCAUGGUUGAAAUGAGUUAUAUAAUAUUCUUAAAUGUAGCUCAAUGCAACAUUCCUAUAUAUCAAAGUUAAUGAACAAUGCAUUAUCUUAAUUCAAUAUUGAUGUAUGAUCGGAUUAUUUGAAAUUGUUCAUGAUUUAUGUAAAAUAUUUAAUUAAUGUUCAUGAUGUAUGGUUGUAGAUGUUUGUCAUUGCAAGUAUCCUUAGUGAGGAUUUAUGUAAUAGAUAUGUGCUGCUAUAAUAAAGUAUACAAAAAUUG
rnacentral:misc_RNA from 1 species